ACACCCGGCUAAUUUUUCUUGUAUUUUUUUUAGUAGAGACGGAGUUUCACCGUGUUAGCCAGGAUGGUCUCGAUCUCCUGACCUCGUGAUCCCUCCGCCUCGGCCUCCCAAAGUGCUGGGAUUAUAGGCGUGAGCCACCACGCCUGGCCAAGUACUGAUAGUGAUUUCUUAUAAUUUUAUGUUGCCUUGGCAUCCAUUUUGAUAAGAUUCAAAUUUUUCCUACCAGAAGUAGGGCUCAGUCUGUGGGCGGCAAGCCACCCAGGUGCCAAGGCAAGAGACCGAGGGCACGAGCCGUACCAGUAUAAUAAAAUAUAUAAAAUAAGAAUAGUUAUACUAGAUAUAGAUCAUAGAUAUGAUUAUAUAUGAAUAUCAUUAAUCAUUAGUUUGUAGCAAUUACUCUUUAUUCCAAUAUUAUAAUAAUCCUCACUCUACAAUCAUAACCUAGGAAAAAUCAGGCCAUACAGGGAUAGGAGCUGAGGGGACAUAGCGAGAAGUGACCGGAAGACAGGAGUGCGAGCCUUCUGUUAUGCCCAGACAGGGCCACCAGAGGGCUCCUUGGUCUAGCGGUAAUGCCAGCGUCUGGGAAGACGCCCGUUGCCAAGCGGACCGUGGUCUAGCGGUAGCAUCAGUGCCAAGGAGAAACACCUGCUACUUAGCAGACCGGGAAAGGGAGUCUCCCUUUCCCCGGGGUAGUUUAGAGAAGACUCUGCUCCACACCUCUUGUGGAGGGCCUGACUGAUUGCCCACAGUUAUCCGGAGGCCUAACCGUCUCCCUGUGAUGCUGUGCUUCAGCGGUCACACUCCUGUUUCACUUUCAUGUUCCACUCUGUACACCUGGCUCUGCCCUCUAGAUAGCAGUAGCAAAUUAGUGAAAGUACUAAAAGUCUCUGAUAUGCAGAAAUAAUGGUGUAAGCUGUCUCUCUCUCCUCUCUCUCUGCCUUGGGUGCCAGGCGGGGAAGGGCCCCCUGUCCCAUGGACAUGUGACCCACGUGAACUUAUCUAUCAUUGGAGAUGGCUCACACUCCUUACCCUGCCCCUUUGUCUUGUAUCCAAUAAAUAUCAGCACAGCCUGGCAUUUGGGGCCACUACCGGUCUCUGCGUCUUGGUGGUAGUGGUCCCCUGGGCCCAGCUGUCUUUUAUGUCUUUGUCUUGUGUCUUUAUUUCUACAAUCUCUCGUCUCUGCACAUGGGGAGAAAAACCCACUGACCCUGUGGGGCUGGUCCCUACACAGUCACCCUUGGCAGUUUCCAGGUCUACACCACACCCAAAGGACUGCAGAGAUAAGAAGUCAGAGGCCUGACAGGGUGGGAAUAGGCUCAGGUCUGUAAUCCAAGGCAGGAAGAUUGCUUGAGGCCAGGAGUUCGAGACCAGGGCUGGGCAACAUAGUGAGACCCACCCACCCCCACUACCACAACCACUCAAAAAUAAAAUAACGCUUAGAGGCAUCUCUUCUGCCUAGCAGACUGCACUCCUGCUUUUCUGAUGCUUCCUUUAAAAAGAACAGUCAGGCAUUUGGUCAGCAAACUUAUUGACCCAUGAUCAUUCCCUUCUAUCUGCUGUUAGUUGCCACGUGCUCUUUCUGCCUGACUCUUCACUCCUGCCUCCCGUGACCAGGGACGAGGACUUCCCUCCAGUCUCAUUACACUUCCCUUGCCCAGGUUCUGUAUUAAAAAUCUUUGGACUUGUUUCCUCCCGCGGUGGUGGGUUGAAUUUGCACUUUCCAUCAGAACAACCAGGGGCUGCCCUAGGCCGGGCUCCCGGUGCCAGAGCAAUGGUCAGGCAGCAUAAACCAGACAUGGGUCUCACCAGAGCCACUAGGGCCUUUCCCAUGUGAGGGGCCUCUGGUCAUAGGUCAGACACUAGGCAUGAGGUUGUCCACUAGUUACAAGAAGUAUCCUGUGAAAGGUGCACUGCACACAUCCACGUCUAGCCCCCUACCUUUCUGCUUAGGGCAGGUUGCUGGCUGCUCUGGUACUGGAAGCCCAGUUUAGCUGGGGGCUCUCAAAACAGGACUUCCUGUUCCUUCACUACCAUUUGCUAGUUGGAAGCUCUGGGAGUAAAUGGGAUGUGGUCCCUCGGGCUCCAGUCCAGCAGCGCUCAUGAGUGGCGAGCUACAGUACAGCACGCUAAGGUGGGGAAAGAUCUUUACAGCGAGUUCUCCCUAGACCGGGACAGGGGAGCCAACCCCUGGAGACAGAGAAGACCUUGGGCUGCAGAAGUUAAGGGAGCUUCCCGGUGGAGCCGCAAUGCAGGGAAGGUUGUCAAUGGCUAGAAAAAGUGGGCAAGGGCGGAUGAUGGACUGGAGCUUGGUGUGGCAUUAGGUUACAACAGGCCUUGCAUGUGGGGCCGAGGAGCUUGGCCCUUAUUCUGAGUGGUGGGGCCCUGGGGAGGCUAGGGGCUGGGAGAUGACAAAACUGCUUCUAGAAAGGUCCAUGCACGGUACAGUCCAUCAGCUCAGUAAACAGUUUGGCUUUCUAUGGGCCUGGACCCUUUUACAAGUUAUACAAGGGGUCAAAGAUCCUGGAGUAACAGAGGCAUUGAGGACAUGACCCCUAUGAGGUGGGUUGGUCUCUUUCCUCUUCUGCCCUGAGGACCCAUUGGCAGACCCUCUUCACUGAUGACACCAAAUUUAUGCCUGGGCGCCAGGCUCCAGCCUGACUCAGGGGUGGGGACCUGACCUCCAUCUCAACCUGCUGUGGCUCUACCAGCCCCUUCAACACAGAGGCACCCACCCCCUCUGUCCAGCAGAUUCGCGGCCUCAGUCCCCCACUUCCACCGCCCCCCCCCGCCCCCAUCCUCAUCUUCACACUCACAUCCUGUUAUCACACCUCAGCCUUUCCCCACCUGCCUCUCUUCACUUUCAUUCCUGUGACCCUCCCCACCUCCCACCCCCUGGGCUGGCUAGCUCGUCGUCACCCCAAGAAGACAAGAGAAAUCACUUUGUGCCAUGCCACCAGCACCCCCCUGGAGCUCAGCUGUAGCUCCGAUCUUACUUCCCUGUGUGGGAGUCUCCGCUGCUUCUCACCGCCUGCUGGAGGGAGGUGGAUUCCUGCCCCAGCAUGGAAAGCCUUCUCUGGAGCCCCUCUCUCUUUUAUACCACAUUUAACUCCAGGAAUGUUGGGCUGCUCAUUCUAUGCACCUGCCCCCAGUUUUCACACUUCUGUAUCUUUGCUUACACUGCUCCUUCAGCCCAGAACACAGUUCCCCUUUGCCUUUACCAUUGAAAUCAUACCCUUCUUUUAAGGCAUAGUUCAGAAUCACCUGCUCCAGGAAGCGCUCUACGAUCCUCCCAGGUGAAAUGCAUCUCCCCAUCUCCAUUACUGCUGCUGCCACCUGCCUCUCACCCCUAUGUGGUGUUGCAGUCCAUUGGGUCUGGCUGCCUCUCUGGCUGGAUGUCUGCCCUAAAAAGUGGAAAAAGGUCUCAUUCAACUUUGUUUUUCCCCAUAGCGUCUACCAGAGGACCUUGCACACAGUAGGGCCUCAAUCAAUGUCUGCGGGUUGAAGUGGCUGAGAACUGCUAAGAACAUCCUCUCCCAGUCUCCCUAAAAGGGCUCACAAAAGCAGCAGCAAGCGGGGGUGGGGGAGGGCGUGGAUUCUGGAGGGCAUGGAUUCUGGCGGGAAUUCUUAAGAUGUUAUCUUCUCACCCCUUUUUUAUGUUAACAUGGUAGCCACAUCCAGAGACACAGGAGUGUAUGAAGUGUUCACAUAAACACUUGUGAGAGACAAAGGUUUCCCAGGAGUUCCUCCUUCAUCAGCAAGACAAGGCCCCUAAGCUACGUCGGUGAAAUAAAAACUGACACUAAAUGCAAUGUGGUAUUCUGGACUGGACCCUGGAACAGACAUGGCCAAGAACAUUAGGUUUAUUUAUUUUUUUUGGUGAGACGGACAUUUACUGUUGUUGCCCAGGCUUGA
rnacentral:lncRNA from 1 species